GAGUUUGAUCCUGGCUCAGGACGAACGCUGGCGGCACGCCUAACACAUGCAAGUCGAACGGUGAAGGGGGAGCUUGCUCCUCCGGAACAGUGGCGGACGGGUGAGUAACACGUGAGCAACCUGCCUUUCAGAGGGGGACAACAGUUGGAAACGACUGCUAAUACCGCAUAACGUAUUUUGGCGGCAUCGCCGGAAUACCAAAGGAGCAAUCCGCUGAAAGAUGGGCUCGCGUCUGAUUAGAUAGUUGGUGAGGUAACGGCUCACCAAGUCGACGAUCAGUAGCCGGACUGAGAGGUUGAACGGCCACAUUGGGACUGAGACACGGCCCAGACUCCUACGGGAGGCAGCAGUGGGGGAUAUUGGACAAUGGGGGAAACCCUGAUCCAGCGAUGCCGCGUGAGGGAAGAAGGUUUUCGGAUUGUAAACCUCUGUGGAGGGGGACGAUAAUGACGGUACCCCUUUAGGAAGCCACGGCUAACUACGUGCCAGCAGCCGCGGUAAUACGUAGGUGGCGAGCGUUGUCCGGAAUUACUGGGUGUAAAGGGAGUGUAGGCGGGAAAGCAAGUCAGAAGUGAAAACUAUGGGCUUAACCCAUA
rnacentral:rRNA from 1 species